rnacentral:lncRNA from 1 species
GGCGGGUUUUGGCGGGAAAAUUUGUAAUGUUUGGAGAAGACAAGAUGGCGCCGGUUACUUCGUGUCAUCAAAGGGCAUUUUUGUUCACAAAUAUACCCGCUUAUUUUACGUUAUAGCGACUGGUUAGUUUUGGAAAUUAUAACUCAAUGGACGGGGAAAACGAUUCUGUAUUAAAGAGAAAAUGAUGUGCAGUUAUUGUGAUGUACAGUUAUUGUGAAAGGCGGCCCGAAAUUUCGCUACUUCGCAGUACUGGUUUAUAAAAAAAUUACAAGCAACAGCAAUUGAACAAUAUGACAAAGAAACCAAUGUAUACAAGCCAAUCAAGUUCUUCAGUUUAAAGGUCAGUUUACUUUUUAAUAAUUAGUUCAUUUAGUUGUAUUUAUAAUACGAAUUUAUACGAAGUUCUGGAUACUAAUAAAAACUUUGUACGAACUGGUGACUAUUCGUACUGGAACAGUACGCCGAGUUUGAUUUGCUAUUCGUACUGCAAUCGUAAUAUUUAAGAUAAACCUGACCCCAAACCCUUCUCUAAUCCAAACAAAGUUUUUUUAUUUACUUGAAAGUUUUUUUAUUUCGAGAAAAAUUUUUUUUAAAUAUUUUAAGUAAAAUUUCUAAGUCAAACAGACAACCGACGGCUAAAACUAAACCCGGACCCGACCUUGUUUCACUUCGCACGCACGCACGCAUCACCUUUGCUGAAUCCACUACCAGCCUGAAUUGCUGAAAGCUAUUGCAAAAAACUAUUUUAUAUUACUACUUUACAAAAUGUAAGAAUCUGGUGCCAUACUUCAGUACGAUUAUUGAGUCGUACUAAUUACUGACAAUUACCGACAACAAUCACACAAUUACCAACAACAAGCACACAAUUACCGACAACAAGCUGACAAUUACCGACAACAAGCACACAAUUACCGACAACAAGCUGACAAUUACCGACAAAAAGCUGACAAUUACCGACAACAAGCACACAAUUACCGACAACAAGCACACAAUUACCGACAACAAGCACACAAUUACCGACAACAAGCACACAAUUACCGACAACAAGCUGACAAUUACUGACAACACGCUGACAAUUACUGGCAACAAGCUGACAAUUACCGCAACAAGCUGACAAUUACCGCAACAAGCUGACAAUUACCGACAACAAGCUGACAAUUACCGACAACAAGCUGACAAUUACCGACAACAAGCUGACAAUUACCGACAACAAGCACACAAUUACCGACAACAAGCACACAAUUACCAACAACAAGCACACAAUUACCGACAACAAGCUGACAAUUACCGACAACAAGCUGACAAUUACCGACAACAAGCUGACAAUUACCGACAACAAGCUGACAAUUACCGUUGCAAAUAAGUUGACAUCAUUGACAACAAGCAGACAAUUACCGACAACAAGCUUGGACAAUUUACUGACACAACAAGCUGACAAUACUGACAAGCUGACAAUUACUGACACGCUGACAAUUACUGACAACACGCUGAUACCACUGCAACAAGCUGACAACAUUGCUAGACAAUUACCGAUACAACAAGCUGACAAGCUGAUAAUUACUGGGACAACAAGCUGACACCAUUGGACAAAUAAGCUGACAAUUACUGACAACAUGCUGACAAUUACUGACAACAAGCUGACAAUUACCGACAACAAGCUGACAAUUACCGACAACAAGCUGACAAUUACCGACAACAAGCUGACAAUUACCGACAAAAAGCUGACAAUUACCGACAACAAGCACACAAUUACCGACAACAAGCACACAAUUACCAACAACAAGCACACAAUUACCGACAACAAGCUGACAAUUACUGACAACAAGCUGACAAUUACUGACAACACGCUGACAAUUACCGCAACAAGCUGACAAUUACUGACAACAAGCAGACAAUUACCGACAACAAGCUGACAAUUACUGACAACAAGCUGACAAUUACUGACAACAAGCUGACAAUUACUGACAACACGCUGACAAUUACUGACAACACGCUGACAAUUACCGCAACAAGCUGACAAUUACUGACAACAAGCAGACAAUUACCGACAACAAGCUGACAACAAGCUGACAAUUACUGACAACAAGCUGACAAUUACUGACAACAAGCUGACAAUUACUGACAACAUGCUGACAAUUACUGACAACAAGCUGACAAUUACCGACAACAAGCUGACAAUUACCGACAACAAGCUGACAAUUACUGACAACAAGCAGACAAUUACCGGCAACACGCUGAAAAUUACUGACAACAAGCUGACAAUUACUGACAACAAGCUGACAAUUACUGACAACAAGCUGACAAUUACCAACAACAAGCACACAAUUACCGACAACAAGCUGACAAUUACCGACAACAAGCACACAAUUACCGACAACAAGCACACAAUUACCGACAACAAGCACACAAUUACCGACAACAAGCUGACAAUUACUGACAACAAGCUGACAAUUACCGGCAACGCGAUGACAAUUACUGACAACAAGCUGACAAUUACCGACAACAACUGACAAUUCCCGACAACAAGCACACAAUUACUGACAACAAGCUGACAAUUACCGACAACAAGCACACAAUUACUGACAACAAGCACACAAUUACUGACAACAAGCUGACAAUUACCGACAACAAGCUGACAAUUACCGACAACAAGCUGACAAUUACUGACAACAAGCUGACAAUUACUGACAACAAGCUGACAAUUACCGACAACAAGCUGACAAUUACUGACAACAAGCUGACAAUUACUGACAACAAGCUGAAAAAUACGGACAACAAGCAAAUACAUACUUUCAUUGUAUUAUAGUUAUUUGGUUGUUUUUGAGGAAACACAAAAUAUAUAAGUUUGACAGAUUUUGUCAAAUAUUGUUGAGUUAAAACAUUCCGCUAUUAAAGAUGAUGGAUUCGCGUAGGCAGAUACCAUAUAAAAGUAUAGAUAGGAAACAAAAUUUCAAGUAGAAAAUCAGUAUUAACUACCUUAUUAUCUAUAAUAAUAUAACUACCAACUUCUAUAAAGUGUAUAAUGUGUCUCAAAUGUUUAAUAGUAACAAACAGAAACAAGCUAUAAAUUAUUUACGUCAAUGCAUGUAUGUGUUUGGGUUUUCCUCAAAAACAGCCAUGCAUUCAUACAAAUAACUAAAAGAAUACAAUGAAAGUAUGUAUUUGCUUGUUGUUGGUAUUUUUCAGCUUGUUGUUGGUAAUUGUCAGCUUGUUGUUGGUAAUUGUCAGCUUGUUGUUGGUAAUUGUCAGCUUGUUGUCGGUAAUUGUGUGCUUCUUGUCGGUAAUUGUCUGCUUGUUGUCGACGGUUGUGUCUGUAAUUAGUACAACCACGAUUAUUAGUUAAAUUGAAAAAUCAUUUAUUUCACAUUUGGUACACUGUACGUUUUAUGAUUGAUCACGACGAUCAGCGGAUAUUUCUAUACACUUUCUAUAUAUUUACUAUUGAAUUUUCCAAACUUUCCAGUCAGGCAAAGUUGUACCCCACACCAUGGAAUUUCAUUUCAGCACCCUAUAUCAUUCUAGAAUAUCUGUAUUAAUCAUUUCAGCAACUUUGGCUAGCUUGCGUUGUUUUUUGCUGAAUAACGCUCACAGGCUGCAUGUUGUCCAAGGAAGGCACCCUCUGUCAUUAACCCCCUCGCCACAUUUGCAACAUUAAUUAACAAAACAAUCAACCCCACUGCCUCAAAACUCUCCGUCCCUGUCAUACAGCAAACUCCUAGCCUUCUUUAACAACAGAUGUCGAGGGCCAACUAAUUUCUUACUAUGGACCAUCUACACGAUGCAAUGUUUGCUUACAAUUGUCGUAUGCAGGGUGUUAGUCAGGCGGCCGUCCGACCGUCCUAUGGACGGCUAAAUUUUAAUGGAUGGCCAUGGACGGCCUAAGGGAAUAUUUUCUUUAAAAAGCAACCUACAUGAUUUGUAAUAUUUCUUGAGUACUUCGCGCCAUAUUUUUGUAAAACGCGCCAUGUUUUUGUAACCAUUUUAAUUAUUCUCACAUGAAGUUUCAAGGAGAAUAAUGUGAAACCGUGUUUUAAAAAGCAUCGCUCGAGCGCCACGUUACAGUUACGGUAGUGAUCAUACCAUACGUGUGCUUUUACUAAUUUAAUGAUGGAAAUGUGCAUCUAAAAGUAGAAAGGUUCAACCUCUAGGUCUAUUAACUGUCGUUCAAUGAAUAAAACACCACAAUUCCUCAACAACAGAAAAUUGUGGCCACACCCAAAAACAUGUGACCACGCCCACAAAAAUAUGUUGCCACGCCCACAAAAUUAUUUUGGACGGCCACUUUUGAAAUCCUGGCUAACACCCUGGUCGUAUGCAACUUGCUGACCCCAUCCCUGCGACUUUGUGUCAUCUAUCUAGACUGUACGAUUAUUGUAUGCGACUUCUCCAACCGAGAGAGAUAUUAGACCCUCUUUCUACUUUUUUUUUUACUUUGCCUUGGUCACACUUUGAACAGGAGGCAUACCAAUUUCGCUUUCUCCCAUCUCAUUGUUGAUGUCCGCCAUUUUGAACUAUUUUUCACAAAAAAUGUAUAAAAGUCGCAGGAUUUUAAAAUUUUUUACCACUUUUUUGUGUUGCAUAAGACUGUCAUAAGCAAAUUGUAGGGCUAUCUACAUGACAUGAUUUGCGUCGCAGGGAUGGCGUCUCGAUGCAAUGCAGGUUGUUUUAGUUCCAUUUUUUUAAGCAUUAGAAAGUGUAUGCUAUGUAUGUGCUGAGAGCUAGUUUUGUUGGAUUUUUUUGAAAAUUUCAGCAGCCAUGUUGUUCGAGCCAAAACAAGCUAGGUUACAUGGAUUGUAAAAUAACAUUUAUUUUAUUAUCCAUGGUUACAUGAAGUAAGGUUUGAAUGUAAAAAAUGACUUUCUAUUCAGUGCUGUAUACAGUCAUAGUUAAUAGAAAUAAACAUGGUUAGGAAGGCCGGUAAACUUCAAAGAAUUUCCUAUUCAAACUUCAACUGAUGUUGAAAUGUAAUUCCAGGUGCACACAUCUUUUGUCUUGCGUUUAUUAAUAUUCAAAUAUUACGGUUCAGCGAUUGAAACUAAGGUUUUUAUUGGGUAAUCGCCUCAUUAUACAGAAUCCGAGUGCACAAAUUUCCAUAAACUUGGACAAAAACAUAGAACAAUGACUUUUGUCAAGCUUCCAAACCAUGUUUAUUUUCUAUUAACUAUGAUACAGUUCAGUGGCUCAGACAACUUCAGAUUUUCGCCCGCAGACCUGGGAACGAGGUUGCCGAAGAGCAUGCAUAAAUUAUGAAAUAAAAUAAUACUUCGUAUUUAAUAAUACUGUAUUUUUGUUCAUUUUAAAAUGUUUAGCGAGCAAACAUUGUUGUGUUACAGUCGUGUUUGGGUCAAACAAUAUGUGGAAAGCAAAAAUAGCGAAGGUAAAGAGAUUAAAAUUGGAUUUAGUGCGUAUUUUUGAAAAUUUUUACCACCAAAUAUGGUAGUCCCCCCCGUCCAUGCCACUUGUGACGUCAGGUACAUACGGGACUUUGGGGGCGUGUUUUGGCGGGAAAAUCUGUAAUGUUUGGAGAAGACAAGAUGGCGCCGGUUACCUCGUGUUAUAUCAAAGGGCAUUUUUGUUCACAAAUACCCGCUUAUUUUACGUUAUAGCGACUGGUUCGUUUUGGAAAUUAUAACUCAAUGGACGGGGAAAACGAUUCUGUAUUAAAGAGAAAAGGAUGUGCAGUUAUUGUGAUGUUAUUUGUUGUGAAAGACGGCCCGAAAUUUCGCUACAUCGCAGUACUGGUUUAUAAAAAAAUUACAAGCAACAGCAAUUGAACUAUAUGACAAAGAAACCAAUGUAUACAAGCCAAUCAAGUUCUUCAGUUUAAAGGUCAGUUUACUUUUUAAUAAUUAGUUCAUUUAGUUAUAUAUUAAUACGAAGUAUAGGGCCAUUCCAUUUAAUAUCCACACCCUCCUGUUGACUAGAUUUAACGAAGUGGGUUUGAAAUUUUGAAUUUCUGAGGGUGUGCCAAGUUGAAAUUUCCGAGGGGGUUUGUGAAAGGAAAAUUUCUUAAGGUGUCAACAUUUUUGUAAUUUUCCAAGGAGUUACAAAAUUUUUUUAAAUUUCUGAGGGGGGAGGAGGAAGGUAUACCUGUUGACGAAAAUUUCUGAGGGGGUGGUAAAUAAUUCCAAAAAAUUUCUGAUGGGGUCUAUCAUAGUGGAACCACGUCAACAGUUAUUUCCGAGGGGCUCGAGAAAAAUUGUAAAUUUCCGAGGGGGUUCUAAAAAAAUAGCGAAUUUCCGAGGGAGGCUUACAGAAAACCGUUUCUGAAGGGGCCUAAAAUCAGAAACCUCGUCAACAGGGGGUGUGGAUAUUAAAUGGAAUGGCCCACUGGAUGCUAGUAAAAACUUUUUAAUAAUUAGUUCAUUUAGUUGUGUAUUAAUACGAAGUACUGGAUACUAGAUAAAUAGUUCUUUUAGUUGUAUAUUAAUCCGAAGUACUACUACUUGUGUUGCCACGCAUAACAUUGAAUUGAUGUUAUCACCAGUACCCACCUCAGAUAACGUUGAUUGUUACCCUGUCGUAUUUUGACCGCUAAAAGAGCUCAAAAUCAAAAUGGCAACUGAAAUAUGGUGUAUAAUCAAUCAAUUUAUCUCAGAAAUGCAUUAAAAUGCUGAGGCUUCAAUUCAAAGUUAUUCACUAUAUUUGUACGUAAUUGACCGGUAUUUGACACAAAACGUCGCUUCAAUACUUCAACCUUUGUUUUGGCUUUGGUUUUCUAUUCGUUGAAAAUAAUAUAAUACUGGCAAAAGUGCACGGCAAACAUGAAAUAUUUCAACUUUGGUCUGUUCGGAUGUAAAUAGUCAAAUUGCUAGAAGAUAAUGUCGAUUCUACGUAAUGUGUGGCAACAUGAAUAUGGACCUGGUCCCUUAACGAGUUUGAUUUGCUAUUUGUAUAAACAGACCCCAACCCCUUCUCUAACCCUAACCAAUGAAUGUGUAAUGAACUAUUGAGAGUUAAAAAGGUUUGGUGGGAUUUUAAAAUAUUUAAAAAAAAAUUUCUAUGGGGCUGAAUAUGGAAGCUGGGUUGGCCCGCCAAACGAGACAGUCCGGUAAGCGGGAUGAAUUUUGCUUGCAUUUAUAUGAGGAGAUUUUAUGCUGCUUGCCAGGCUAGAAAUUGUUUACAUUGCACUCAAUUGGUAUUGCCAGAACAAAUUUCAAAAUUAAUUUUUGCUUCAAGACUCGCUAUUUUGUAAACAUUACAGCUAUUGAAGGACAUUGCAACCUUUUGUUUUGUCUUUUUUACCUAUGUAAUGUCAAGAACUAUAAAAAUAGUUGCAGAAAAGACUUCAAACUAUUGAAAAUGUUUCAUCCCAGCAACCGGGCCAUCCCAUUUGUGAGUGUUUAUAUGGGGAAAUUUUCACCCUGGUUGUCCAUAUAAACGCACAGGAAUUUUUACUAUAAAUUCUACUACACAGCGAGAUCUUGCUAAGGCGUAAGAAAAAAUACCUGUGGUUCUGGUUUCAUAUCGUGAAAAAAUUAGGGUCGGUAGGUCGGAAAUAAUAAAUUUUUUUAAAAUAUUAUUUUCAUGGUUUUGGUGGUUUUUUGCUGGGUGAUUUGCAGUAGAGUCCCGACAUCAAUAUUAACUAGAGAUGCGUAUUUCCUAUGGACGAAUUUAGGCAAUUUGGUUCAAUAAUUAGUGUGACAACAAACGCCAUUUUGGCACGCUGUAUGAGCAGCCCGCAACCACCUGGAGAAAAUAAGGUCGCACGGUCAAUCGUGCUGAAAAAAUAAUAGGGUCGGCAGAAGAAAUAGGGUCGGUCGGGAACCGGAACCACAGGUAUUUUUUUUACGCCUAACCGGGCUGUCUUGCCAAGUGGGCCAGUCUAGCUCCAAUAUAAACAGCCCCUAAAUCAAACAGAAAUCGACAGCUAAAACAAAACCUGAUCCCCGACCUUGUUUCACUUUGCAUGCAUGCAACGCCUUUGCUGAAUACACUACCAGCCUGAAUUUAGAGUGGAUCGAUAUCGCAAAUAUCGAUAUUCCGCCAUCAGAAUACUGGUAAAUACCGGUAUUUUUAACGUGCUUUUUUUAAGCCAAACUGAACUACUGACCGUCGAGAAAAAUCAAGUUUUGACAAAAUAUUAAUGUGGCACGUACUGUUAUAAGUGCAAAUGUCACGAGAUUCGCAUUAUCAAGCUAUGUUAACGGUGCUAAGCAGCAAUUAUUAGUAGGGCGUCGAAGUGUUGAAUUUGUGAGUUCAGUAUUAACAUUGCUUUCUAAACGUGAUGGUAAGCAAGUUUGACUUGAAAUAGCGUUUCAAUUCGGUAUUAGGCAGCAAAAUACCGAAAUGUCGGUAUAUCGGUAUUUUUAAAUUGUCAAUAUCGCCAAACCGGCAUCUAAACAAAUACCGGAUAUACAAAUACCGGAUAUACCCGGUAUAUAGAUCCACUCUACCUGAAUUGCUGAAAGCUAUUGCAAAAACCUAUUUUAUAUUACUACUUUACAAAAUGUAAGAACCUGACACCAUCCCUGCGACUUUGUGUCGUCUAUCUAGACGGUACGAUUAUUGUAUGCGACUUUUCCAACCGAGAGAUAUAUUAGGACCCUCCUUCUACUUUUUUUACACUUUGCCUUGGUCACAUUUUGAACAAGAGGCGUGCCAAUUUCGCUUUCUCUCAUCUCAUUGUUGAUGUCCGCCAUUUUGAACUAUUUUUUCAUAAAAAUGUAUGAAAGUCGCAGGAUUUUAAAACAAGUUUAAAAUAUUUACGACUUUUUUGUGUUGCAUACAACUGUCGUAAGCAAGUUUUAGGGCUAUCUACACGGCACGAUUCGUGUCGCAGGGAUGGCAUCAGCAAGUUGCAUACAACAAUCGUCAUGGGCGUACGGGAAGGAAAAAAUAAGGGGGUGGAAAGAAAUUUGCCCGACUUUGUCGGAUUGUGCCGCAGUUGUCAAAAAAAAUUUCCGGAGAAACUUUCCAAAAUUGUUGUCGCUCCAAUUGUUUAGCUCCAUUUUUUUAAGCAUUUUAUAAAACGUAUGCUAUGUAUGUGCUAAGAAGCUAGUUUUGUUGGCAUGUGGAAAGCAAAAUAGCGAAGGUAAAGAGAUUAAAAUUGGAUUUAGUGCAUAUUUUUGAAAAAUUUUACCACCAAAUAUGGUANNNNNNNNNNNNNNNNNNNNCCGUCCAUGCCACUUGUGACGUCGGGUACAUACGGGACUUUGGGGGCGGGUUUUGGCGGGAAAAUCUGUAAUGUUUGGAGAAGACAAUAUGGCGCUGGUUACCUCGUGUUAUAUCAAAGGGCAUUUUUGUUCACAAAUACGCGCUUAUUUUACGUUAUAGCGACUGGUUCGUUUUGGAAAUUAUAACUCAAUGGACGGGGAAAACGAUUCUGUAUUAAAGAGAAAAAGAUGUGCAGUUAUUGUGAUGUUAUUUGUUGUGAAAGACGGCCCGAAAUUUCGCUACUUCGCUGUACUGGUUUAUAAAACAUUUACAAGCAACAGCAAUUGAACUAUAUGACAAAGAAACCAAUGUGUACAAGCCAAUCAAGUUCUUCAGUUUAAAGGUCAGUUUACUUUUUAAUAAUUAGUUCAUUUAGUUGUAUAUUAAUACGAAGUACUGGAACAGUACGCCGAGUUUGAUUUGCUAUUUGUACUGACUACUGUAGUCGGAAUAUUUAUGCACCUAUCAAUGUUCAGCCCGAGGGGAGGCGGGGAGGGCGGGCGUCAAUAGGGGAUUUGAAUUUUUGUUGAAAUGUUUUGUCAAACAUCCCGUAUUUCAGAGCUUGUCAAACUCAUCAAAAUGCUGGUCAAACUCAUCAAAAUACCCCGGUUAUUUCUUUGCUUCCUGUUCAAAUGGGUUGUUCCAGAAAAUAUCCAUACCCCCAAGCUGUCCGAAGGGGGAGUGAGGAAAAUUGUCUUAGGAUGUCCGGGGGGGGGGGAGGAAAUGCGGAUAUAAGUUUGUCCGAAGGUUUUAGACAGUGAUAAAGCUAUGUGAUUGGCGAUAAUUAUAAUGAGCACGCAAUUUUUAUCAGGUAUAGCCCUUAAAAACCGGAACGUUUAUGUAACAGCAAUAAUUAUACGUCCACGUAACUCGUAAGCAAAAUAAGCGGCCCAAAAUAAGCGGCAUGCAUGGCCACGGAAAACUAACUCGCUGUAACAGUGUAUCCUGCAUGUUGAGAAUGAGUCGAAAAUUUACACACUUUAUUUAUAUAAAAGUAAAGUUUUGCAGUUUUCAUAUGUAUAAGUUUGAAUUAUUCAAGUGUUAAAAAUAAUAGUUAUUAAACUGUUGCUUGAAUUAAGAGACUGCUAUGUGAACUGAACUCAAUAUUUCGAAUAUUUAGUUUCAGUAUAUAGUCAAUAAAGCUUCCUUGCGAGGUGCGUGCCUAGAAAAUAGAAAUGGCUGUCAUAUUAAGGGCGAGUAAUACUAAAAAAUGCAUUAGGGCAAUUUUACGUUGCGGACGUUACAUUCACAGGAAAACAAUUAAUACAAAACAUGCUCUGUUUCCUGUUUGCAACAGUUUCAGAUCUGGGAACUUUGUCAUAGAAAACCUUACAGUCAAAUCCGGUUCGCCUUUGACCUAAACAUUGCUAUAAUGAUAUACAAUUUUGCAAUUUUGAUUGACAUUUGUGUCGUGCAAUUUCCAACUGUCGAGGUAAAUUGCUAUUUGCUAAUUGCAAAUUUGCCGCAAUUUUCAUCUCACUCUAAGAGCAGACGGACAACUUUUAGUCAAUGAUUUAGGGAUAGAUACGCGAGUGUUUUUCUUGAAAAACCUAUUAAAGAAUACAGAUUACUUGUCGAACGUAUUAAAUCUGCAAUACCUUGUUUCAACAAAUUGCACGACGACGAAAUUCGAAUUGCAUAUAAAGAUGUUCAUUCAGGAUGUUUCAUAAAUAUUCAUGCAAAUGUUGAUGAACAAUUUCACCUAACAGAUACAUUCAACAACGUAUUUACAGUUUGAGCAUACGAUAGAAUUACAGUAAUUUGAAAGUUUGUAGAAGUGAUUCACCGUUUAUACAUAUUAGAAAGAAAUCGUUAAUUCGCGACGAUCUCAACGAACCUACGUUUUGUUCGAGUGUAAAUAACAAGGUGAGACCGAUUGCCGCUUUCACGGAAAAUGAUGAUACAAGUACGAGUACUGUACGUCUGCCCUUCCCAAACAAAUUAAUUUUACAGCAGAUUUGUCCGAAGUUCAAGGUGGAAAAAAAACAAUCGCAAUAACAAUCCUUGUUACGCCCCCGUUUACACGUCUUAUUUUACCUGUAAUUCUAUCGUAUGCUCCAACUGUAACAACGUUGUUGAAAGUAUCUGUUAGGUGAAACUGUUCAUCAACAUUUGCAUGAAUAUUUAUGAAACAUCCUGAAUGAACAUCUUUAUAUGCAAUUCAAAUUUCGUCGUCGUGCAAUUCGUUAAAACAAGGUAUUGCAGAUUUAAUACGUUCGACAAGUAAUCUGUAUUCUUUAAUAGGUUUUUCAAGAAAAACACUCGCGUAUCUAUCCCUAAAUCAUUGACUAAAAGUUGUCCGUCUGCUCUUGGAGUGAGAUGAACUUGCGGCAGAUUUGCAAUUAGCAAAUAGCAAUUUACCUCGACAGUUGGAAAUUGCACGACACAAAUGUCAAUCAAAAUUGCAAAAUUGUAUAUCAUUAUAGCAAUGUUUAGGUCAAAAGCGAACCGGAUUUGACUGUAAGGGGACCUCUUAAUAUUUCAUAAAAUAAAACAAAAUUCCCUCGUAAUCACUUUUUGUAAUAAAAAGUCAAAGUACUGUUGCGGACAUUACAGCAAAAUCAACCACACAUUGAAGUGAUGUUCUUAAAAUGUAAUUUCCUGUGAAUUUUGAAAGGUAUCACAGGAACUAAAACACUGCCUGCUCUCAGUGAUACUUGGGGUUAAAAAAUAUGAAAACGAGAUGUUCUACAAUGCCCUUGCGCAGCUUCUAUAGUGCAAAGUUUGUGUUGCGGACAUUACACUGAAACUGUUGCGGACAUUACAUUUUUGGGAUUGUAUAGCAAUCUGUAUUAAAAAUAAUAGGAAAUCAAAACUGGGUGACUGAUUAUGCACUUCAAUGUUUCUAGUCUACAUAACAGGCAUUCUAGCUUAAUUAUGCCCGGGCGUACGGGGGGGGCGUAGAGGGCGGCAGCCCCCCCCCAGUUUGUUGGGCUAUCAAAGCCAGUCGGGCAAUAUUCGCUUCACAGUCGGGCAAUAUUGGCUUAUUAUAAAAAUAAAUGGGACAAAUUCUGUCAAUUUUGUGGGGAAUUCUGUCAAUUUUGUGGGAAAUAUGCUAUCUCCGGAAAAAAUUUUUUUGACAACACGGGCACAAUCCGAAAAAGUAGGGCAAAUUUCUUUCCUUCCCCCUAAUUUUUUCCUUCCCAUACGCCCAUGUGUAUACCAACAAAUCCUGGCAUGAAAUCAUGGUCACAUAUAUUACAGUAUAUAAUCUUCUGUUGACAAUAAUAUCUUUCAAAAGUGCAAUAUUUGUUGUGCAUUGACUCAGGCAAUGACUCGGGUUGUGCAGCAAAAAAGUGUCAUGUUUGUGGACCAUUCUAUUUGACAGUUUUGCAUUUACUACAUUUGGUGGGGAUAAUUAACACCCCUGACUUUAGUGGAAGAUGAUCAAAACAAACAUGAACUAAAACAUGAUUUUGCGCUUAACAACAUAUGCCUUACAAAACUGAUGGUACAAUGGCAGUAUAUGGUAGUGGCAUUAUAUGUAACUUGGAAACUUUCCAUGAUGAAUUGUGUCACUGUGAUUGUGUAUACACAACGGAGUGAUUAUAGCUAAAAGUAGGGUCCCAUAGUCCUUUUAAUGUUCUAUUUUUAAGUCAUCAAGCUUAAAAUAACUAUAGAAUUCAAGCAAGACAAUUAAUAAUAAGCAUCUAAUUCUCCAAGUUCAAAAUGUAAUGUCCGCAACGUAAUGUCCGCAACACAUUAUUCAAGACAUGUUAAUACUUUUUAUUGUCUUUUUUCAGUCUAAAAUAAUGUUAAUACCAUUUUAAAAAAGCAGAACAAAUAUAAUGUCAAAAGAGCUAGACGUUUGGCUGAAAAAUAAAUUGAAUUGUUUUUUUUGUUGCGGACAUUACAUUUCUCUUACCCAAACUCUGAUGCACCAUAAAUCAUAGCAACACUGGAUAUUAUCUGAUCUAACAUUGUUAUCAUGAUAUUUGAACCUUAGACUGUGUUUGUUAAGAAAUAUAACUUAUUUCAAAGUUAAAGUGACUGAGAUAUAAUUAUUUUAAAUGAACACACUUUAUCCACAGAACAAUAGCAACAAACAAGUGCAGGUUCAAUGACUUGCCGCAGAGUGGGCAUGCGGCAAAAUUCAAAAAUCGUUUUGAUUUAUGAUAAUCCAAUGUGUUAACUAUGGAAACAUGUGGUUAGCACCACAUAAUUUUGCAAUUUUGCCAUUUUCAAUGUCUCAUGUGAAAUUGACCAUUAACAUGUAAGUAAACACAGCAACCCUUGUCAAUCAGUCGCAAGUUACAUUGAAUUUCAGUCCGAAUUUUACUUGAUCGAAUUUCGAAGUGAAUUUCUGCAAAUUAUCCGACAAAAUCUGCCAUGUAUUUCAGUAUUUGUGUUCACAAGAAGCCUCCAAGUGUUCCACCACGCCGGAGCUAUUUGAAAACAGCGUAGAAAAGUCACAAUAAGCCAUCGCUUUCACACUACGCUGGAGCGAAAUUGUUUGAAAACUUUCACAUCACGUUUGCCGUAACAAUUUGAGCACGGUUUCUAAACUGAGCGAGGUGAAAACGGAGCGCUUGAUAGCUUUGUGUGAACACAAACGUGUAAACUUGAAUGCUUUUCUGUUAAAUUUCUUGGCUCUAUUUGAAAUAUUUUGGGUUUACAUGAGUGCUAAUUUAAUUUGUAAACACUGUAGGGGGUAUGGAUCUUUUCUGGAAUGACCCAAUCACAUAAUUUCUGCGCCUUCACUAUGAUUGGCCGAAAGUGCCUAAAUUUCCAAUGAAAACAUUCGCAUUUCCACUUGACAACAUUUGAAUUUGCCCUUGGUAACUUGUGUGUUUCAACGAUCAACUUGUGCGGCAAAACUUCCUGUCUCUAAGCUCAACUGCAAAUCACAGUAUUUGCAACCUUUUGUUUUGUCAUUUUUACCUAUGUAAUGUCAAGAACUAUAAAAAUAAUAGCAGAAAAGACUUCAAACUAUCGAAAAUGUUUCAUCCCUGUUACAUUUUUUACAUCUCACCCCUAAGGAAAUUGCAUUUGAAAUAACCAACCCCUGAAGAAUUCCACAGGAGAAUUUGUUUACCCAUGAGGAAUUCCUGAGUUAAAAAGGGAGGUUAUGGAUAUGGAAUAGCCCAAUUUUCUGGAAAAUUUAGCCCAAUUUUCUGGAGAAUUUCCUGGUUUUCCCUGCAGCUUGUUUAUAAACAUGAUGAUAAUUUUCCAGAAUUCUUGUCUGGUUCAAUAGAAAUUUUAUUUUCCAAAGUUUUGAAAUAAACAGAAGUGCAUGGGCCGGUUGUAUCAAGCCCAUUUAGCUUAAACGGUGGUUAAUUAAAUUAAGCUCAAAAUAGAAAGCACGUCUAUAGAUUCAUUCAACAACCAAACUAAAAGUUUUGAACCUUAAUAGCGUUCUAUUAUCGUUAUAAUGUUUACAACUACAUAUUCAGUGCAGAAUAUUUAAGUUGACUGAUUCACGAGAGAAAAGAGUGUUAUUUAAUUUUGACUUAUCCACCGUUUAAGCUAAACAGGCUUGAUACAACCGGCCCCUGAUGUACCCAAACCAAAACAGGUGGUUAAAUUUUAACCCACAGGUAGCACUAUAACUAAAGCUUUGAACAACCGGCAGUUUUGAACAACUGGCCCCAGCUGCCGAUUGUUCAAAGCUGGGUUAGCUUAACCCUAUAAUUUAACAACUAAAAUUCAAAGCAAACUUCCUGACAGCUUGUGUAUAAAUUUGGAAAUAUUUGUUUAGAGAUCUUGUCUGGAUUGAUAGUAGUUUACUUCUCUGAAGUUUUGAAAUAAACAGACGUGCAGAAAUACACAAACUAAAACAGCAGGUUAAAUUUUAACCCAGGGUUAGCACUAACCCACCUUUGAACAAACCGGCCCCAGAUGUGUAACUUAACAGGACUUUGUGUCCUCAAAUUUCCCUGGAUGCUCAUGCCAUGACACUUGUUAGGAACUGGAAGAUGGUGUCUGGAAAACAAACUUUUGCAUUUUAUUGCAGCUUUUUUUAUUGAAAUUUAUAGAUUAAACAAUCAAUAGCAUCAUUUGUUGAAAGCAAUUAAAGUUGUAGAAAAGGUGUUGAAAGCAUUUUUUGAAAGCAAUGGCGUAUUAUCAAAUGACAAAUUAUCAUGCGAGCGACACUUGCUAGGAAGAUGGCAACUGUGGGACAACUAUAUAAUAGUUUUGUUUGUGGAAACACCACAUAAAUUUAUUACUGCAAAGCUUUUGAUCCGUAAGCCCGGAUAAUCAUCAGUGCUAAUAAUAUGUGACUUGUUUAAUUCACACGCCCUUUUUAUGUACAAAAAAUGUCGUGAUCUGUUGGCUCACAUAUUAUUAAUUAACACUGAUGAAAAUCCGGGCUUACGGGUCGAAAGCUUUGCAGUAAUAAAUUUACGUGGUGUUUCCACAAACAAAACUAUUAUAUGUUUUAUGCAAACAUAUAAAGAACUUAUUGUGGGACAACUUUUUUACUGAAGUUAUACAUCUGUUCUCAGCUGGCUAGAUCUUGAUUCUUGCCUGUGGUCCCCCUCUUUGCAUUUGACCCAAAUGUUUCGGUCAUUUUAUAUUUGCCAAUAUAAAUCUUAUUGGCCUAGAAAUUAUACAUUUGGAAUAAUAAUUUUGUAUGCUGCAUUCAAUCUAUUCUCCAUUCAGGGAGAUUCUUUUGUAAAUACCCACACCAAUCAGAAGUCUGUAUUUUUAUGCUAAAACAGAAAUCGGCAUCCCAGAGAGUAAAUUAUAUUCAAGUUUAGGGCAUGUUGCAGCUCUAUAUCUUGCCGUUGCAAGUUGCGUUGCGUUUGAUGUUUGUUCUGGGAUAAAAUAUUGAAUUAUACCUUAAAUUAAUGUUUUGUGAAAUUUAGUUAAAUUAGUAGAGAGAUGAAUGCAUAAAGCAUAGGGUAUUUUGAAGCUAAAUUUGUUUUAAAAUUUGUCAUUUCAGUGAAAUGGUGUGGAACACAAUGCGUUCUUUUCUGCUCGUCUUAGUUGUUGCAAGGAGACAUCUGGCAUUGUAAUGAAUGGAUGACGAUGUGUCGCUGGCAAACCUACACCAUGUGCAUUUUCUUGGUGGAUAUCUUGGGCAAAUGUGCAAUAUGAUGAGGGAUAUCUUGGGCAAAUAUCUUGUGUAAAUUGGUACAAUUACUUACCUUAAAUUACUAAAGAAGGAUGAUGUUUUAAGGUUAGU